rnacentral:rRNA from 1 species
UGCCAGCCGCCGCGGUAAUACGAAGGGUGCUAGCGUUGUUCGGAAUUACUGGGCGUAAAGAGCAUGUAGGCGGAUGAAUUAGUCAGUGGUGAAAUCCUGCAGCUCAACUGUAGAACUGCCAUUGAUACUGUUUUUCUUGAGUAUAGUUGAGGUGGGCGGAAUGUGUCAUGUAGCGGUGAAAUGCUUAGAUAUGACACAGAACACCGAUUGCGUAGGCAGCUCACUAAACUAUCACUGACGCUGAGGUACGAAAGCGUGGGGAGCGAACAGGAUUAGAUA